rnacentral:lncRNA from 1 species
CUGGGGUUGGGGGUGAUUUGUCUCACCAUAGUAGAAAAUCUGGAGGGUGUAGCGUGCUUGGAAGCAGGGGAAGAGGCACCAAAAGAAGAGAUCUGCAAGAAAUACAUCUACCAGCUGGGUGCAGUUGAACAAAAUCAUUACAGGAUUAGCAGUUUUCUGACCCACUUACUAAAAAGAAGCUGAAUCACUGAAUCGAGACCCCA